rnacentral:rRNA from 1 species
UGGGGAAUAUUGCACAAUGGGCGAAAGCCUGAUGCAGCGACGCCGCGUGAGCGAAGAAGUAUUUCGGUAUGUAAAGCUCUAUCAGCAGGGAAGAAAUGACGGUACCUGACUAAGAAGCCCCGGCUAACUACGUGCC